GGAAUAUUGGACAAUGGGCGAAAGCCUGAUCCAGCAAUGCCGCGUGAGUGAUGAAGGCCUUAGGGUUGUAAAGCUCUUUUACCAGGGAUGAUAAUGACAGUACCUGGAGAAUAAGCUCCGGCUAACUCCGUUCCAGCAGCCGCGGUAAUACGGAGGGAGCUAGCGUUGUUCGGAAAUACUGGGCGUAAAGCGCGUGUAGGCGGCUUGGCAAGUCGGGUGUGAAAGCCCCGGGCUCAACCUGGGAAGUGCACUCGAAACUGCUUGGCUUGAGUACUGGAGAGGGAAGCGGAAUUCUCGGUGUAGAGGUGAAAUUCGUAGAUAUCGAGAGGAACACCGGUGGCGAAGGCGGCUUCCUGGACAGUUACUGACGCUGAGACGCGAAAGCGUGGGGAGCAAAC
rnacentral:rRNA from 1 species